rfam:Fukomys damarensis contig130722, whole genome shotgun sequence.
GGAUAUGAGGGCAAUCUGGCUAUGAUAUCUGCCACCCCUUUGAUUACCAGGGUUGAUUUCGGCUGAUCUGGCUGGUUAGGCACUUGAACCCUUCCUCCAUCACCACUCCAUAUGCAUCUCUCCCAAAGCUGCACACUUGGUCGUAGAGUACAACCAUCCCCCAUAGAGAAGGAUCAUUUCCUUUGUAAAGGGUGUACAAAUAGCUGAACUCCUCUUCUAGAAACUCCAAACAAGUUCUCAAGAGGGUAUUAUUUAAUUUCUAUGUGUUUAUGAAGUUUUUGUGGUUUCUUUUGUAA